rnacentral:lncRNA from 1 species
AGAAGGACGCGGAGACUACGAGGAGGAAUGUUUCGGAGGCGCUGGAACCGGGGAGGUUCCCCGCGCUGGUUGUCAGCCGGCGUCCCAAGGUGUGGUGUCUCCGAGGUCCAGCACGGCGGCUUUUUGUUUACCUAGCCGUCCCCAGCUGCGACGUGGGGAGAAAAGUCUUCGCCUGGAUGUGAAUUUGGAAUGAGAGGCUGAAUAGUAUUUCCGGAGCUUGGCAAGAAACGAAGCAAUGAAGGUGAAAGCCCAGCUGGAUAAUCGUUCAGUGAGAAGGACAAGGAGGAAGGGAAUUGAGGGUGUUGAUGAGACAAGAUCAUGGGACACAGAUGAAAAGGAACGAGGAAAUGUUUAUAUUUCUCUUCUGAAAUCACCUGGAAUUAAUAUUGGUCUACAGAGUGAGAUGGAGAUGGAGCAUUAUUUUUUCCUAAACAGCCGCUUGCCCCAGGCCUGCUGGUUGAGUUUCUCCUUUCUUCACUGAUGUGCUAUGUCACCUUUGUAAUAAAAGAACAUUCUUAUGUGUUCUUGCACUUCAUUGUUUGGCUGCAUUUAUGGAUGUGUUUCUUUGUUUUGCAUCAUUUGUUUCAGGGACAUUUGCGAAGUCAAG